AUUGAACGCUGGCGGCAGGCCUAACACAUGCAAGUCGAGCGGAUGAAGGGAGCUUGCUCCUGGAUUCAGCGGCGGACGGGUGAGUAAUGCCUAGGAAUCUGCCUGGUAGUGGGGGAUAACGUCCGGAAACGGGCGCUAAUACCGCAUACGUCCUGAGGGAGAAAGUGGGGGAUCUUCGGACCUCACGCUAUCAGAUGAGCCUAGGUCGGAUUAGCUAGUUGGUGGGGUAAAGGCCUACCAAGGCGACGAUCCGUGACUGGUCUGAGAGGAUGAUCAGUCACACUGGAACUGAGACACGGUCCAGACUCCUACGGGAGGCAGCAGUGGGGAAUAUUGGACAAUGGGCGAAAGCCUGAUCCAGCCAUGCCGCGUGUGUGAAGAAGGUCUUCGGAUUGUAAAGCACUUUAAGUUGGGAGGAAGGGCAGUAAGUUAAUACCUUGCUGUUUUGACGGUACCAACAGAAUAAGCACCGGCUAACUUCGUG
rnacentral:rRNA from 1 species